GAACGCUGAAGAGGAGCUUGCUUCUCUGGAUGAGUUGCGAACGGGUGAGUAACGCGUAAGUAACCUGCCUGGUAGCGGGGGAUAACUAUUGGAAACGAUAGCUAAUACCGCAUAACAGUAGAUGUUGCAUGACAUUUGCUUAAAAGGUGCAAUUGCAUCACUACCAGAUGGACCUGCGUUGUAUUAGCUAGUUGGUGGGGUGACGGCUCACCAAGGCGACGAUACAUAGCCGACCUGAGAGGGUGAUCGGCCACACUGGGACUGAGACACGGCCCAGACUCCUACGGGAGGCAGCAGUAGGGAAUCUUCGGCAAUGGACGGAAGUCUGACCGAGCAACGCCGCGUGAGUGAAGAAGGUUUUCGGAUCGUAAAGCUCUGUUGUAAGAGAAGAACGAGUGUGAGAGUGGAAAGUUCACACUGUGACGGUAUCUUACCAGAAAGGGACGGCUAACUACGUGCCAGCAGCCGCGGUAAUACGUAGGUCCCGAGCGUUGUCCGGAUUUAUUGGGCGUAAAGCGAGCGCAGGCGGUUAGAUAAGUCUGAAGUUAAAGGCUGUGGCUUAACCAUAGUACGCUUUGGAAACUGUUUAACUUGAGUGCAAGAGGGGAGAGUGGAAUUCCAUGUGUAGCGGUGAAAUGCGUAGAUAUAUGGAGGAACACCGGUGGCGAAAGCGGCUCUCUG
rnacentral:rRNA from 1 species